rnacentral:rRNA from 1 species
GGACGGGUGAGUAAUGCCUAGGAAUCUGCCUGGUAGUGGGGGACAACGUUUCGAAAGGAACGCUAAUACCGCAUACGUCCUACGGGAGAAAGCAGGGGACCUUCGGGCCUUGCGCUAUCAGAUGAGCCUAGGUCGGAUUAGCUAGUUGGUGGGGUAAUGGCUCACCAAGGCGACGAUCCGUAACUGGUCUGAGAGGAUGAUCAGUCACACUGGAACUGAGACACGGUCCAGACUCCUACGGGAGGCAGCAGUGGGGAAUAUUGGACAAUGGGCGAAAGCCUGAUCCAGCCAUGCCGCGUGUGUGAAGAAGGUCUUCGGAUUGUAAAGCACUUUAAGUUGGGAGGAAGGGCAGUAAGCUAAUACCUUGCUGUUUUGACGUUACCGACAGAAUAAGCACCGGCUAACUCUGUGCCAGCAGCCGCGGUAAUACAGAGGGUGCAAGCGUUAAUCGGAAUUACUGGGCGUAAAGCGCGCGUAGGUGGUUUGUUAAGUUGGAUGUGAAAGCCCCGGGCUCAACCUGGGAACUGCAUCCAAAACUGGCAAGCUAGAGUACGGUAGAGGGUGGUGGAAUUUCCUGUGUAGCGGUGAAAUGCGUAGAUAUAGGAAGGAACACCAGUGGCGAAGGCGACCACCUG